UACGAAGGGGGCUAGCGUUGUUCGGAAUUACUGGGCGUAAAGGGCGCGUAGGCGGCCGCUCAAGUCAGGCGUGAAAGCCCCGGGCUCAACCCGGGAACGGCGCUUGAAACUGAAUGGCUGGAGUUCGGGAGAGGUGAGCGGAAUUCCCAGUGUAGAGGUGAAAUUCGUAGAUAUUGGGAAGAACACCGGUGGCGAAGGCGGCUCACUGGCCCGAGACUGACGCUGAGGCGCGAAAGCGUGGGGAGCAAACAGG
rnacentral:rRNA from 1 species